rnacentral:rRNA from 1 species
ACUCUUACGGGAGGCAGCAGUGGGGAAUAUUGCACAAUGGGCGCAAGCCUGAUGCAGCCAUGCCGCGUGUGUGAAGAAGGCCUUCGGGUUGUAAAGCACUUUCAGUCGUGAGGAAGGUAGUGUAGUUAAUAGCUGCAUUAUUUGACGUUAGCGACAGAAGAAGCACCGGCUAACUCCGUGCCAGCAGCCGCGGUAAUACGGAGGGUGCGAGCGUUAAUCGGAAUUACUGGGCGUAAAGCGCAUGCAGGUGGUUUGUUAAGUCAGAUGUGAAAGCCCGGGGCUCAACCUCGGAAUUGCAUUUGAAACUGGCAGACUAGAGUACUGUAGAGGGGGGUAGAAUUUCAGGUGUAGCGGUGAAAUGCGUAGAGAUCUGAAGGAAUACCGGUGGCGAAGGCGGCCCCCUGGACAGAUACUGACACUCAGAUGCGAAAGCGUGGGGAGCAAACAGGAUUAGAUACCCUGGUAGGAUAGCG